rnacentral:rRNA from 1 species
AGUGAACGCUGGCGGUAGGCCUAACACAUGCAAGUCGAACGGCAGCACAGGAGAGCUUGCUCUCUGGGUGGCGAGUGGCGGACGGGUGAGGAAUACAUCGGAAUCUGCCCAGUCGUGGGGGAUAACGUAGGGAAACUUACGCUAAUACCGCAUACGACCUUCGGGUGAAAGAGGGGAUCGCAAGACCUCUCGCGAUUGGAUGAGCCGAUGUCGGAUUAGCUAGUUGGCGGGGUAAUGGCCCACCAAGGCGACGAUCCGUAGCUGGUCUGAGAGGAUGAUCAGCCACACUGGAACUGAGACACGGUCCAGACUCCUACGGGAGGCAGCAGUGGGGAAUAUUGGACAAUGGGCGCAAGCCUGAUCCAGCCAUACCGCGUGGGUGAAGAAGGCCUUCGGGUUGUAAAGCCCUUUUGUUGGGAAAGAAAUCUUUCAGGCUAAUACCCUGGGAGGAUGACGGUACCCAAAGAAUAAGCACCGGCUAACUUCGUG